CCAAGGGACAGCUCACAGCAGGACAGCACCAUCAUCUGACUUACUUCCUAAGAAGAGCCCAUUAACAGCCUCGCGGACAAGGGACUGCAGGAGAAGUUUCUCCCAAGAAGUCAUCCUUCUUGAACCUAAACACUGACGACAGGUUUCUGUUUCCUGCUAGCUGAAUAAGGACAAGAUAGUGGAAGUUGAAGCAACCGUCUGGGACCAUGAGAUGGAAGUCAUGUUGAGAACAGCAGAAAAAGGAACAAGGGCCUGGCGGCCCAAUGCAGUCCAGCCACCAUAACUGCUUUGACUGCUGUGAUCUAGUUUAAGCCAUGGUAUUUGUGAGUUUCUGCUGCAACACUUACAGCAGCUUCCUAACUAACACUGUUGUUUAACAAAGCUCUAUUUUUUUUUAAAUACUAAUAGCUUUCUUUAUUGAGAUACAAUUCACCAUAUAAUUUACCCAUUUAAAGUAUAUAAUUGAGUUUUUAGUAUAUUCACUGGUUUAUACAACCCAUUUGCCACAGUAAAUUUCAGAACAUCACCAAAAAGAGAAAUCCCACACCAUCCUCCAUCCUGUCAGCUCCCCCAAUGACCCAGCCCUAAACCACUAAUCUACUUUCUGUCUCUAUGGAUUUGCUUAUUCUGGACAUUCCAUAUAAACUGACCAAUACAAUGCACGAUCUUUUGUGACUGGCUUCUUUCAUUUAGCAUGUUUUCAAGGUUCAUCCAUGCUACAG